GACGAACGCUGGCGGCGUGCUUAACACAUGCAAGUCGAACGGUGAAGGGACUGGUUUUGCUGGUCCUGGAUGAGUGGCGACCGGGUGAGUAACACGUGAGUAACCUGCCCCCUUCUUCUGGAUAACCGCAUGAAAGUGUGGCUAAUACGGGAUAUUCUGGGUCUGUCGCAUGGUGGGCCUGGGAAAGAUUGCGCCUUUUUUGGUGUGUUUGGUGGGGGAUGGGCUCGCGGCCUAUCAGCUUGUUGGUGGGGUGAUGGCCUACCAAGGCGGUGACGGGUAGCCGGCCUGAGAGGGUGGACGGUCACACUGGGACUGAGACACGGCCCAGACUCCUACGGGAGGCAGCAGUGGGGAAUAUUGCACAAUGGGCGCAAGCCUGAUGCAGCGACGCCGCGUGAGGGAUGGAGGCCUUCGGGUUGUGAACCUCUUUCGCCAGUGAAGCAGGCCUGCCUCUUUUUGUGGGUGGGUUGACGGUAGCUGGAUAAGAAGCGCCGGCUAACUACGUG
rnacentral:rRNA from 1 species